GUGAACCUCACUGUCCGGGUUUGGUGGAACCUCACUUCGGGUUUGCCGCCCUCACUUUCUAAGUCUGCUGAACUCACUUCCCGGGUCUCCUGAACUCACUUCCGGGUAUGCUGACCUCACAUUUUGGAUUUGCUAGCCACACUUCUGGGUCUGCUGACCUCACUUCCGGGUUUGCUGACCUCACUUCCGGGUUUAGUGACGUCACUUCUGGGUUUGCUGACCUCACUUCCGGGUUAGCAGACCUCAAAUUCUGGGUCUGCUGACCUCACUUCCGUGUUUGCAGACCUCAAAUUCCGGGUCUGCUGACCUCACUUCCGGGU
rnacentral:lncRNA from 1 species